UGGGGAAUAUUGGACAAUGGGCGCAAGCCUGAUCCAGCAAUGCCGCGUGAGUGAUGAAGGCCUUAGGGUUGUAAAGCUCUUUUACCAGGGAUGAUAAUGACAGUACCUGGAGAAUAAGCUCCGGCUAACUCCGUGCCAGCAGCCGCGGUAAUACGGAGGGAGCUAGCGUUGUUCGGAAUUACUGGGCGUAAAGCGCGCGUAGGCGGUCUAUUAAGUCAGGGGUGAAAUCCCGGGGCUCAACCCCGGAACUGCCCUUGAAACUGGCAGACUAGAAUCUUGGAGAGGUCAGUGGAAUUCCGAGUGUAGAGGUGAAAUUCGUAGAUAUUCGGAAGAACACCAGUGGCGAAGGCGACUGACUGGACAAGUAUUGACGCUGAGGUGCGAAAGCGUGGGGAGCAAACAGGAUUAGAUACCCCCGUAGUCC
rnacentral:rRNA from 1 species